GAGUUUGAUUGGCUCAGAUUGAACGCUGGCGGCAGGCCUAACACAUGCAAGUCGGGCGGUAGAGAGAAGCUUGCUUCUCUUGAGAGCGGCGGACGGGUGAGUAAUGCCUAGGAAUCUGCCUGGUAGUGGGGGAUAACGCUCGGGAAACGGACGCUAAUACCGCAUACGUCCUACGGGAGAAAGCAGGGGACCUUCGGGCCUUGCGCUAUCAGAUGAGCCUAGGUCGGAUUAGCUAGUUGGUGAGGUAAUGGCUCACCAAGGCGACGAUCCGUAACUGGUCUGAGAGGAUGAUCAGUCACACUGGAACUGAGACACGGUCCAGACUCCUACGGGAGGCAGCAGUGGGGAAUAUUGGACAAUGGGCGAAAGCCUGAUCCAGCCAUGCCGCGUGUGUGAAGAAGGUCUUCGGAUUGUAAAGCACUUUAAGUUGGAGGAGGGCAGUAAAUUAAUACUUUGCUGUUUUGACGUUACGACAGAAUAAGCACCGGCUAACUCUGUGCCAGCCG
rnacentral:rRNA from 1 species